rnacentral:lncRNA from 1 species
UAGCUUGAUUAAGUUUAUUGAUUAGGUAUCUUGAGUUUCGAUUUCUUAAUAAAAUUUAAGGCUCCGUUUAGAAUUACAGAAAGAUUACAUUAUAUGUAUUGAGAAGAUACGAUAAAACUAGAUUAUUUUUUUAUAUAAUAUUAUGUUCUGUAUAUCACAAUUAGUUCGUUAUGAUAUAUUUUUUAUAAUUAUAUUCAAAAAUUAAAAAGUAUUGCUAUAUAUUUUCGUCCCAUCUCCAUUUUUCCUCAAUCCAA